GGAGACGGCACGCUGAAGGGAAACGCGCGCGUUCCUCUCCUUCGUGUCGACAGAAGAAGAAAGAUGUUAAAUCAAUCGCCUCAUCUCUUGUUUUCGUUUUAUUACAAAUAUACGAUCCGAAACGACGUUUUGACUUUCGAGCCGUAUUUCACAAUGAAACCAACGAGGAGAUAUUACAGCAAAGCGAAAGUAUGCCAACGCCUUCUCUUAUCUAGUCCGAUUCGCUUUUUCACAAGAACACUGUUACUUUCAUACGAAUCGAUAAACUCGACUGGUGUUUACUAGUUACCAUCUGUGCGUCAAAGGAAGGAGAACGAUCGAAUGAUCGAUAAUAAUAGGUUAUGUUACUUAAUCUUAUUCAAUAAUUCUGCCCCAUCAUUUCUUAAUUUUUAAUAUCAACUUAGUAUCAACGAUGCGUGAUCACAUAGAGACUAAAAAAAAAAGAUUCUUCUUGAAACAUUUGUUAUAAAAAAUAUUCUUAUAAUUUAAAAAAUUUGUUUCAUACAUACACACACACACAUAUAUAUAUAAAUUAAAGCAUAGACUUUGUACCUUUGUAAGUACUAGUUGGUUGUUAAAACAAAAAGGAAAAAAUAAACAAAUAAAUAAAUGAAUGAACGAAUAAAAUAAAAUGAAACAAAAAAGAAGAAACGGAAAAGAAAAAAAUCGAAAGGAUGCACCAAGGUGGUCAAGUAUAAAGUGUAGGUGUAAAUCCCAUUCAUGUUGAGUUUCGCUUAUCAGAUGCCAAACCACGUGGUCUCGACACGCACCUUCUCUCUCUAACCACGUGACUCAAGUGUACCUACGUUCCCACUGCUGUUUAUGGUGUCAACACACUUUCCUCAUCUCCAAAUUGUAUUUUACGAAUAAAUAUCUCUACCAAUUAUA